AUGUCACCUCAAACUUCACACGGGCACAGCUGGACUCACACACAAUGUGAGCUUCUCUUUCUUAGUCACUGUUGGCCACUGUCAUUUAUUCAGUUGCUAAAGCAACUCAUCCCGCACCCAAACCCCCAGUAAGUCUCUCUGCACCCACUCUUAGCGCACCCUCAGUGUGUCCAUUUCUUUUCAGAUCUGUGUCUGCCACCUUAGCUAAGGCGGCUUGAAUCCCUUGUCCCAUUGUGGGUCAUAACCGUAUAAGUGGUCACACAACUGAAUGUGGGGGUUGCAAAAAAUUUGGCAUCAGAAAAGGGUUUGUAAAUGUGCAAUGGCCGAAAACAAAUUCCAAGUCAAACGUUUAAUGAAUGCAAGGCAUUUCUGGCAGUGCUUGUCCCUGUGGAAUCAUGUCACCUCGCUGCAGCCUGGGCUAGACCACAGAGCGCUCAGCUGUGCAAAGUCCAUGCCACCAAGCUGCUGCCAGUGUUGUAUGGUAUUAUUAAUUGCCUCAUUCUUAAUGUAUAGGUUUCUGUUCUUACAAAAACAUAAUGGUUUAAUUACAGAGAAAAACUGCUUUAAAUGUUUUUCUCCUGGCAUUCCAAUAUGAGUAUUGAACAAAUAUAUCUUUGGAGUGCAUCGUAUGAGAAUUUAAAAUUGAUUUUAACAUUGUUGUUCGAGGUGCUGGCUAAGUCCCAUAGACAUAGUUGUUCAAUAAAUUUUGGCUUGAGAUCGUGAUAGAGCGUACAAAUUCCAGAACGCCCUGAGUGUGUUCCUGCCGCUGUGUUACAGAUUUAUACAAAGUAGUUCUCAGAAUUGGCUAUUAUAAAAUCAAAGUAUUGAUCAGCUUCGAGAACCUUCGGAGGUGCUUCACACCCAACAGCAUCACCUUUAUUGCUAAAUGUACUUUUUUUUUGUAA
rnacentral:lncRNA from 1 species